rnacentral:misc_RNA from 1 species
GCUCAAAAUGUAAAAACAGCUGAAGAGCUUGGAAUGCAACCUGCAAAAAUUAACACACCAGCAUCACUUUCAGGAUCUCAGGCUUCUUGGACCUUAAGAGUUCACGUGGGAGCAAAUCAAGAUGAGGCGAUUGCUGUAAAUAUUUAUGCAGCUAAUGUUGCAAAUCUGUUUUCUGGUGAGGGAGCUCAAACUGCUCAGGCUACACCUGUUCAAGAAGGUGCUCAACAGGAAGGAGCUCAACAGCCAGCACCUGUCGCACCUUCACAUGUGGAGUUAAUUCUCCUGUUAAUGUUACAACUACAGUUGAUGCUAAUACAUCACUUGCUAAGAUAGAAAAUGCUAUUAGAAUGAUAAGCGAUCAAAGAGCAAAUUUAGGUGCUUUCCAAAAUAGACUUGAAUCUAUAAAGAAUAGUACUGAGUAAUGCAAUUAUUACCUUAUUUUAAAUAUGAACCCAAAAUUUUUGUGAACACAUGUGCUUGUGNUUAUAUUGGAGCUUGCUCAACACUCUGUUAAUAUAACCGGAAUCUCUUUUCUUANUUAUGAAUAAAACCUGCCAAAAAAAUAGG